AGUGUAGAUUCAGAGUUUGAUCCUGGCUCAGGACGAACGCUGGCGGCGUGCUUAACACAUGCAAGUCGAACGAUGAAGUCCGGGGCUUUUUUGUUUUGGUGGAUUAGUGGCGAACGGGUGAGUAAUACGUGAGUAACCUGCCCUUGUCUUUGGGAUAAGCCUGGGAAACUGGGUCUAAUACCGGAUAUUCUGCUCUUGCCGCAUGGUGGGGGUUGGAAAGAUUUUUUGGAUGGGGAUGGGCUCACGGCCCAUCAGCUUGUUGGUGGGGUGAUGGCCUACCAAGGCGUCGACGGGUAGCCGGCCUGAGAGGGUGACCGGCCACAUUGGGACUGAGAUACGGCCCAG
rnacentral:rRNA from 1 species